UAGGGAAUCUUCCGCAAUGGGCGAAAGCCUGACGGAGCAACGCCGCGUGAGUGAUGAAGGUCUUCGGAUCGUAAAACUCUGUUAUUAGGGAAGAACAAAUGUGUAAGUAACUAUGCACAUCUUGACGGUACCUAAUCAGAAAGCCACGGCUAACUACGUGCCAGCAGCCGCGGUAAUACGUAGGUGGCAAGCGUUAUCCGGAAUUAUUGGGCGUAAAGCGCGCGUAGGCGGUUUUUUAAGUCUGAUGUGAAAGCCAACGGCUCAACCGUGGAGGGUCAUUGGAAACUGGAAAACUUGAGUGCAGAAGAGGAAAGUGGAAUUCCAUGUGUAGCGGUGAAAUGCGCAGAGAUAUGGAGGAACACCAGUGGCGAAGGCGACUUUCUGGUCUGUAACUGACGCUGAUGUGCGAAAGCGUGGGGAUCAAACAGG
rnacentral:rRNA from 1 species